UACGUAGGGGGCAAGCGUUGUCCGGAUUUAUUGGGCGUAAAGAGCGCGUAGGCGGCCAGGUAGGUCCGUUGUGAAAACUCGAGGCUCAACCUCGAGACGCCGAUGGAAACCCCCUGGCUAGAGUCCGGAAGAGGAGAGUGGAAUUCCUGGUGUAGCGGUGAAAUGCGCAGAUAUCAGGAAGAACACCAGUGGCUAAGGCGGCUCUCUAGUACGGUACUGACGCUGAGACGCGAAAGCGUGGGGAGCGAACAGG
rnacentral:rRNA from 1 species